GGACGAACGCUGGCGGCGUGCUUAACACAUGCAAGUCGAACGGAAAGGCCCUUCGGGGUACUCGAGUGGCGAACGGGUGAGUAACACGUGGGUGAUCUGCCCUGCACUUUGGGAUAAGCCUGGGAAACUGGGUCUAAUACCGAAUAGGACCACGCGCUUCAUGGUGUGUGGUGGAAAGCUUUUGCGGUGUGGGAUGGGCCCGCGGCCUAUCAGCUUGUUGGUGGGGUAAUGGCCUACCAAGGCGACGACGGGUAGCCGGCCUGAGAGGGUGACCGGCCACACUGGGACUGAGAUACGGCCCAGACUCCUACGGGAGGCAGCAGUGGGGAAUAUUGCACAAUGGGCGCAAGCCUGAUGCAGCGACGCCGCGUGAGGGAUGACGGCCUUCGGGUUGUAAACCUCUUUCAAUAGGGACGAAGCGCAAGUGACGGUACCUAUAGAAGAAGCACCGGCCAACUACGUGCCAGCAGCCGCGGUAAUACGUAGGGUGCGAGCGUUGUCCGGAAUUACUGGGCGUAAAGAGCUCGUAGGUGGUUUGUCGCGUUGUUCGUGAAAACUCACAGCUUAACUGUGGGCGUGCGGGCGAUACGGGCAGACUAGAGUACUGCAGGGGAGACUGGAAUUCCUGGUGUAGCGGUGGAAUGCGCAGAUAUCAGGAGGAACACCGGUGGCGAAGGCGGGUCUCUGGGCAGUAACUGACGCUGAGGAGCGAAAGCGUGGGGAGCGAACAGGAUUAGAUACCCUGGUAGUCC
rnacentral:rRNA from 1 species